CGGAAUUUAUGUUAUUCGCGAAUACGGAACUGUUACUAAAAAUUCAGAACGACAAUUUGGAGAGUAUGUUUACGAACGUUACUCUCGGAAUCAAACUCGCGAACGAAACUAUUAUCUAACCUCACUUUAACUGCAGUGCCAUUGAUGAAAACCGCUUUUUUCAAAAAAAAAAACAAUAUCUUGCAGAAUUAUCUGAAUUAUAUUUUUAUAGUAUUUUUAGUCAAUGUAUAUUGUGUCAUUACAAAAAAACAAACAGGUAGUAAUAAAGUGGACUAAUAAUUAAUAUGUAUUAGUCAAAAAAUAAAUUGAGGAAACUUUAUUUACGAUCAAAGUCUGAUUAUUUUUUUAGUAUUUAGAAAAAUAUACGACAAAAAAUAACCACAAUUAUUCAAAGAUUUGAACAAUUGACAAAGUGUAUAUACAGGGUUAUCAUAAAAAAAUGAUUGUGGAUGAUAAAAUGAAGGAAAUACGCGGAAUCUAUCUGCAGGAUAAUUAUUGUCAUAAAAUCGUAUGAUGUGACAACACUGUAUUUUGAAAAAGUGCGGUUUCCUCGUUAUAUAAUUCUUUCUGCUUCUUCCGUUUCUCGGAUGAAAUUAAUUUUAUAUAAAUACAUUUAGAUUUUACGAAAAAAUGCCUAGAUACUAUAUUAUUUUCAACACAGCCAAUGUACUGUAAAAUAAUGUCAGUAGGAUCGCCAGUAUGAAAAAAUUCCCGUUUAAUUUAGCAUGGCACAGAUAUUUUCUGAAUGGAAGCACAUCGUCGUCCAUGAGCAACUUAUAUAAAAAAAUACAUAACCUCAUGCUGCACGUACUUUUUUAUGAACACCAUAUUUACGUCUCAGUAUAUAUACAUACAGAAGUUUACAACUCACACUUUCUUUACCAAUUAUCUUUAUUUACACACCCUGCUUACUGCCCCUACAAAAAUAAAUACCACUACAAAAUCUUGUCCGUCAAGCCAGAUAUUAACCAAUGACUUAUGGAAGGCUCGAAGGACCAGAUAGUGUAAAAUCAAAUAUGUAAAAGAAAUAUGAAACCAUAAUUUGAAAGUUUUAAUAAGACUGUAAGUAGGAGGAUAAUGGGAAACCAAAUGGCGCUAAAAUAAAACAAUCAUCAUUACACAGUCCGGUCCCUGGUUUAUAUCAGGCCCAAAGGACCAGAUAGUAUAAUUGUGAGUGUUGGUGUAACUGUAGACUAAUACAUAAAAGGAACCAAUGAAGAUUGGUAGAGCAAAAUAUAACAAGAUAAAUGAGGAAAUAGAAGAUUAAGCCUUAGGCUAAGUAAAUCAUGAGAAAUCUACCAAAUGUAGCUUGUUGUGCCCCCGCAAAAGGUUAGGAAGUCUUUGAAAUACAUAAGAAUCUCUGUAUAAUGAUGGAAAUGUCAAAAACAAAAAUUACAAACAA